CAAGGAAUUUUCCGCAAUGGGCGAAAGCCUGACGGAGCAACGCCGCGUGCAGGAAGACGGCCUUCGGGUUGUAAACUGCUUUUGCCGGGGAAGAUAUAGACGGUACCCGGCGAAUAAGCCCCGGCUAACUCCGUGCCAGCAGCCGCGGUAAGACGGAGGGGGCAAGCGUUGUCCGGACUUACUGGGCGUAAAGCGCACGCAGGUGGUAACGCAAGUGGGGUGUGAAAGCCGCCAGCUCAACUGGCGGAGGCCAUCCCAAACUGCGUCACUUGAGGCCUGUAGAGGUAUGUGGAAUUGCCGGUGUAGUGGUGAAAUGCGUAGAGAUCGGCAGGAACACCCAGGGGGAAGCCAGCAUACUGGACAGGUCCUGACACUCAGGUGCGACAGCGUGGGGAGCGAACCGGAUUAGAUACCCGUGUAGUCC
rnacentral:rRNA from 1 species